rnacentral:piRNA from 1 species
CGCCAUAUCGGCCUUUCGGAGCUGUGA